CAGUCGCCACGGGAAUACAGAGGGUGCGAGCGUUAAUCGGAUUUACUGGGCGUAAAGCGCACGUAGGCGGACUUUUAAGUCAGGGGUGAAAUCCCGGGGCUCAACCCCGGAACUGCCUUUGAUACUGGAAGUCUUGAGUAUGGUAGAGGUGAGUGGAAUUCCGAGUGUAGAGGUGAAAUUCGUAGAUAUUCGGAGGAACACCAGUGGCGAAGGCGGCUCACUGGACCAUUACUGACGCUGAGGUGCGAAAGCGUGGGGAGCAAACAGGAUUAGAUACCCCGGUAGUCCCUGUCUCUUAUAC
rnacentral:rRNA from 1 species